CGGUGACAGGUGGUGCAUGGUUGUCGUCAGCUCGUGUCGUGAGAUUGUUGGGUUAAGUCCCGCAACGAGCGCAACCCCUAUUGUUAGUUGCCAUCAUUCAGUUGGGCACUCUAGCGAGACUGCCGGUAAUAAACCGGAGGAAGGUGGGGAGUGACGUCAAAUCAUCAUGCCCCUUAUGACCUGGGCUACACACGUGCUACAAUGGUUGGUACAACGAGUUGCGAGUCGGUGACGGCGAGCUAAUCUCUUAAAGCCAAAUCUCAGUUCGGAUUGUAGGCUGCAACUCGCCUACAUGAAGUUCGGAAUCGCUAGUAAUCGCGGAUCAGAACGCCGCGGUGAAUACGUUCUCGGGGUUU
rnacentral:rRNA from 1 species